rnacentral:misc_RNA from 1 species
GAUGAAGAACGUAGCGAAAUGCGAUAGGUAAUGUGAAUUGCAGAAUUCAGUGAAUCAUCGAGUCUUUGAACGCACAUUGCGCCCCCUGGUAUUCCGGGGGGCAUGCCUGUCCGAGCGUCAUUGCUGCCCUCAAGCACGGCUUGUGUGUUGGGCCUCCGUCCUCCUCCCGGGGGACGGGCCCGAAAGGCAGCGGCGGCACCGCGUCCGGUCCUCGAGCGUAUGGGGCUUCGUCACCCGCUCUUGUAGGCCCGGCCGGCGCUUGCCGACACAUCAAUCUUUUUUCCAGGUUGACCUCGGAUCAGGUAGGGAUACCCGCUGAACUUAAGCAUAUCAAUAAGCGGAGGA